ACCACAGUGGCCCCAAAUGCACAAAUAACUGCAAAAAGACUACGCCAUGAGCUGGAGAUGGCCAAACAAAAAGUGGCAGCAGGAGAUGCUCAAGGAAGUGACCAAGGAGAGAGACUUUCUAAGGGAACAACUGGCUAUGACAAUAAAAUAGGACAAGGGCGUUCCAUCAGAGGACAGCACAAGUCCCUUACAGCAAACCACUUCCGCCGCUUCAGCUACUUUCUCUUCUGAUUCCUCCCACUCGUCACCCAACUCUUCAUAUGACUCUUCCUCCACGGAUGAGGGAUGGAAGAAGAAAAAGAAGAACAGUAAAACAGUAAAGAGACGUAAGCAGGGGAAACGGGGAAAGGAGCAAAGUGUUCACCAGAGAGCUCGAGAUCCUGAAGUGGUGGCCCGAUACCGAAAGGUGUUGAAAAUCUGCCAGGAGGGAAGGACCAUGGGGGCUGCUUUCAGAGCUGUGGGUGUUGACCGCAACACUAUUGUCGUGAAUGCCCCAAUGGCAGAACUUUGCAUUGCUGCCCCAGAAACAUUUGCAGAGCUCAGAGAGAGGUGCUCCAAGAAGGAGAAGCUCAGUUGUUUUACACAAAGGUGUAAAGAUGCCAUUGAGGGUG